CGUGUAGGCGGCUAGGUAAGUCGGAUGUGAAAGUCCCGGGCUCAACUCGGGAAGUGCAUUCGAAACUGCUUGGCUAGAGUAAGAGAGAGGAAAGUGGAAUUCCUGGUGUAGAGGUGAAAUUCGUAGAUAUCAGGAGGAACACCGGUGGCGAAGGCGGCUUUCUGGCUCUAUACUGACGCUGAGGUGCGAAGGCGUGGGUAGCAAACAGGAUUAGAUACCCUGGUAGUCC
rnacentral:rRNA from 1 species